GAGCCUCAGAAUCGGCCCCGUCAGGGAUGUCGGUGCGGUGGGAUCGGCCUGUGUCAAUAGAUUAAGCGAUCAAGAACUUGGCUCGGUUUUUGCUUGUUAAAAGCUGUGCCGUGUGCGUUUUCAAAGUGUGGUGCCAGCUAUAAUCCUGACCAGUCUUUUUGGUGUCCCACUGCAGGGUACAGACCUCUUCUUAUACAGAGAAGGAAUUUACUUAUUUUUAUUCAUUCUUCACACGUUUUUCUUGUAGUGUUGUGUGAUGUUGUAUUGAAUUUUGAUAAAUAAAUGACUCUAUUAGGUAAAA